rnacentral:rRNA from 1 species
ACUGAACGCUGGCGGCAGGCCUAACACAUGCAAGUCGAACGAGUGGCGGACGUGUGAGUAAUGUCUGGGACACUGCCUGAUGGAGGGGGAUACCUACUGGAACCGGUAGCUAAUACCGCAUACCAUCAGAUGUGCCCAGAUGGGAUUAGCUAUUAGGUGGGUGAAUGGCUCACCUAGGCGACGAUCCCUAGCUGGUCUGAGAGGAUGACCAGCCACACUGGAACUGAGACACGGUCCAGACUCCUACGGGAGGCAGCAGUGGGGAAUAUUGCACAAUGGGCGAAAGCCUGAUGCAGCAAUGCCGCGUGUGUGAAGAAGGCCUUCGGGUUGUAAAGCACUUUCAGCGAGGAGGCGUUACUCGCAGAAGAAGCACCGGCUAACUCCGUGCCAGCAGCCGCGGUAAUUC